rnacentral:rRNA from 1 species
UAUACGACCGUACCGCAAACCGACACUGGUGCGCGAGAUGAGUAUUCUAAGGCGCUUGAGAGAACUCAGGAGAAGGAACUCGGCAAAUUGACACCGUAACUUCGGAAGAAGGUGUGCCCUAUUAGUGUGUAGUGAACAACGAAGCAUGAAUGGGUUGCAAAAAAUCGGUGGCUGCGACUGUUUAUUAAAAACACAGCACUCUGCAAACACGAAAGUGGACGUAUAGGGUGUGACGCCUGCCCGGUGCUGGAAGAUUAAAUGAUGGGGUGCAAGCUCUUGAUUGAAGUCCCAGUAAACGGCGGCCGUAACUAUAACGGUCCUAAGGUAGCGAAAUUCCUUGUCGGGUAAGUUCCGACCUGCACGAAUGGCGUAACGAUGGCCACACUGUCUCCUCCUGAGACUCAGCGAAGUUGAAAUGUUUGUGAUGAUGCAAUCUCCCCGCGGAAAGACGGAAAGACCCCAUGAACCUUUACUGUAGCUUUGUAUUGGACUUUGAACAGAUCUGUGUAGGAUAGGUGGGAGGCUUUGAAGCAGGGUCGCUAGAUCUUGUGGAGCCAACGUUGAAAUACCACCCUGGUGUGUUUGAGGUUCUAACCUAGGUCCAUUAUCUGGAUCGGGGACAGUGCAUGGUAGGCAGUUUGACUGGGGCGGUCUCCUCCCAAAGCGUAACGGAGGAGUUCGAAGGUACGCUAGUUACGGUCGGACAUCGUGACGAUAGUGCAAUGGCAUAAGCGUGCUUAACUGCGAGACUGACAAGUCGAGCAGAUGCGAAAGCAGGACAUAGUGAUCCGGUGGUUCUGUAUGGAAGGGCCAUCGCUCAACGGAUAAAAGGUACUCUGGGGAUAACAGGCUGAUACCGCCCAAGAGUUCAUAUCGACGGCGGUGUUUGGCACCUCGAUGUCGGCUCAUCUCAUCCUGGGGCUGUAGCCGGUCCCAAGGGUAUGGCUGUUCGCCAUUUAAAGAGGUACGUGAGCUGGGUUUAAAACGUCGUGAGACAGUUUGGUCCCUAUCUUCCGUGGGCGCUGCAGAUUUGAGGAAGCCUGCUCCUAGUACGAGAGGACCGGAGUGGACACACCUCUGGUGUAUCGGUUGUCACGCCAGUGGCAUUGCCGAGUAGCUAAGUGUGGAAGAGAUAACCGCUGAAAGCAUCUAAGCGGGAAACUCGUUUCAAGAUGAGAUCUGCCGGGGCCUUGAGCCCCCUAAAGAGUCGUUCAAGACCAGGACGUUGAUAGGUCAGGUGUGGAAGCUAA